rnacentral:rRNA from 3 species
AGUAACGAUAAAGCGGGUGAAAAGCCCGCUCGCCGGAAGACCAAGGGUUCCUGUCCAACGUUAAUCGGGGCAGGGUGAGUCGACCCCUAAGGCGAGGCCGAAAGGCGUAGUCGAUGGGAAACGGGUUAAUAUUCCCGUACUUGGUGUUACUGCGAAGGGGGGACGGAGAAGGCUAUGUUGGCCGGGCGACGGUUGUCCCGGUUUAAGCGUGUAGGUGUGUGUUCCAGGUAAAUCCGGUUCACUUUAACACUGAGGCGUGAUGACGAGGCACUACGGUGCUGAAGCAACAAAUGCCCUGCUUCCAGGAAAAGCCUCUAAGCAUCAGGUAACAUCAAAUCGUACCCCAAACCGACACAGGUGGUCAGGUAGAGAAUACCAAGGCGCUUGAGAGAACUCGGGUGAAGGAACUAGGCAAAAUGGUGCCGUAACUUCGGGAGAAGGCACGCUGACAC